rnacentral:rRNA from 1 species
AUUGAACGCUGGCGGCAGGCCUAACACAUGCAAGUCGAGCGGAUGAGGAAAGCUUGCUUUUCGAUUCAGCGGCGGACGGGUGAGUAAUGCCUAGGAAUCUGCCUGUUAGUGGGGGAUAACUCGGGGAAACUCGGGCUAAUACCGCAUACGUCCUACGGGAGAAAGUGGGGGAUCUUCGGACCUCACGCUAACAGAUGAGCCUAGGUCGGAUUAGCUAGUAGGUGAGGUAAUGGCUCACCUAGGCGACGAUCCGUAACUGGUCUGAGAGGAUGAUCAGUCACACUGGAACUGUGACACGGUCCAGACUCCUACGGGAGGCAGCAGUGGGGAAUAUUGGACAAUGGGCGAAAGCCUGAUCCAGCCAUGCCGCGUGUGUGAAGAAGGUCUUCGGAUUGUAAAGCGCUUUAAGUUGGGAGGAAGGGUAUUCACCUAAUACGUGGGUACUUUGACGUUACCAACAGAAUAAGCACCGGCUAACUCUGUGCCAGCAGCCGCAGUAAAAC